UAAGGAAUAUUGGACAAUGGAGGCAACUCUGAUCCAGCCAUGCCGCGUGAAGGAAUAAGGCCCUAUGGGUUGUAAACUUCUUUUAGACGGGACAAAACCCCUUUACGUGUAAAGGGUUGAUGGUACUGUCAGAAUAAGCACCGGCUAACUCCGUGCCAGCGGCCGCGGUAAUACGGAGGGUGCAAGCGUUAUCCGGAUUCACUGGGUUUAAAGGGUGCGUAGGUGGGUAUGUAAGUCAGUGGUGAAAUCCCCGAGCUUAACUUGGGAACUGCCAUUGAUACUAUAUAUCUUGAAUACCGUAGAGGUAAGCGGAAUAUGUCAUGUAGCGGUGAAAUGCUUAGAUAUGACAUGGAACACCAAUUGCGAAGGCAGCUUACUAUGCGGUGAUUGACUCUGAGGCACGAAAGCGUGGGUAGCAAACA
rnacentral:rRNA from 1 species